rnacentral:misc_RNA from 1 species
CAACCCCUAAGCACAGCUUAUUGUUGGGCGUCUACGUCUGUAGUGCCUCAAAGACAUUGGCGGAGUGGCAGUAGUCCUCUGAGCGUAGUAAUUCUUUAUCUCGCUUUUGUUAGGUGCUGCCUCCCCGGCCGUAAAACCCCCAAUUUUUUCU